AACCUUUGCCGCAGUUAGCAGAGACGUCUCGUGUCCUGUCAGUAUCUCAUGCUGCUGAGGAAACUCUCCAGCCGAGGAUAAAAAUGAAUGGAGGGUCCUGGUUGGAUGAGGAGAGGGGAGGAUCAUGUGUAUCUGAGAGACCAAAGGAGGCACAAAGAAUAAAAAAGAAUGAACCUUCACUUUACCCUGGGCUAAGAAUUGAGAACACGUCAGCACAUGUGGGUUUUACUAGUUGGCCUUCAGUGGAGCUGUUCCUGGUUUACACUGGUAUGAAGUCCAAAUCAAAUAUACAGGAGUUCAUUCUUCACCUCUGCAUAUUAUGGGUCUGACUAUGGUCUCUCAAAGGCAUGAUUCAGAAGUAACCCCAUUAAAGCCAAUGGAAUUACAGUUGUGCAAGAUUGGUGUGAAAGGAGAACCAGGCCAAUUCAGCCACUUUGGGGCUUUGCGGCAUUUCGGAAGAGCUCAUAAUGACCAGUGACACGUCCACUCUCUUAGUAAAACACACAUUCCUUCAUCACCAGGGAGAAAUACUUAGAACCUGCCUGAAAAUGAAGCCCAAAUAAACAAGACCUGGUGAAUCACAGCAGUCAGGUGGUUGUGCUUCUCCUCUCAGCUACACUGGUUUCACACUGGUGUAACACUAUUAACAUCAGUGGCAUUACACCUGAAUAAUGCCAGUACAACUGAGAAGAAGAGCCCAGGAUGGUAAAGAGCUACUAGAUUAUCCAGAGACCAUCAAUUUCCCAAUCACCAUGAAUCUGUCUACCUAAACACUUCCAGGCUUGCAAAACUCUAACAGACUUCCUCUGUUUACACCCAGAAGCAGGAGCAACUGACUACUAGCUCAUCACAUGACAAAGGAUUUUCAGUUGGAUCAGAUGACUGCUAAUUGGGGGCAUCAUAUGACAAAGGCUUUAAAUUUGACAGUGUGGUUUACCCGCUCCCAGCUUCAGGCAAAGGGGGAAAUGGAGUGGAAACAGAAAGAGACAGGAGGGAAAGGCAGAGAGAAAAGAGCUAUUGGAAUAAAAAUGUUAUUGCCAGUAAAGGGUUUCAGGGAGACUAGAGCAAGUAAAAUACAAAGGGAGGGAGUAAGUCUAUCGCCCAGGGGACAUUUUGACCCUGACUCUAUUUGUUUCUGCUUGGAUCUGC